rnacentral:rRNA from 1 species
GAUGUUGGGUUAAGUCCCGCAACGAGCGCAACCCUUUUCCUUAUUUGCCAGCGGGUUAAGCCGGGAACUUUAAGGAUACUGCCAGUGACAAACUGGAGGAAGGCGGGGACGACGUCAAGUCAUCAUGGCCCUUACGACCAGGGCUACACACGUGCUACAAUGGCGAGGACAAAGGGCUGCUACCUGGUAACAGGAUGCUAAUCUCAAAAACCUCGUCUCAGUUCAGAUUGGGGUCUGCAACUCGACCCCAUGAAGCUGGAAUCGCUAGUAAUCGUAGAUCAGAAUGCUACGGUGAAUACGUUCCCGGACCUUGUACACACCGCCCGUCAAGCCAUGAAAGCCGGGGGUACCUGAAG